UACGAAGGGGGCUAGCGUUGUUCGGAAUUACUGGGCGAAAGCGCACGUAGGCGGACUAUUAAGUCAGGGGUGAAAUCCCGGGGCUCAACCCCGGAACUGCCUUUGAUACUGGUAGUCUCGAGUCCGGAAGAGGUGAGUGGAAUUCCGAGUGUAGAGGUGAAAUUCGUAGAUAUUCGGAGGAACACCAGUGGCGAAGGCGGCUCACUGGUCCGGUACUGACGCUGAGGUGCGAAAAGCGUGGGGAGCAAACAGGG
rnacentral:rRNA from 1 species